rnacentral:snRNA from 1 species
AUCCUUAUGCAAGGGAAAUACACAUAUCAGUGAGGAUUCGUCCGAGAUUGUGUUUUUGCUGGUUGAAAUUUAAUUAUAACCAGACCUGCUCCUCAUCAUCGCCUGUGGAAGCUCGCUUAUAUUGAGUCUUCCCUUGAUGAUGUUGGGAAUUUUUGGACUCUUUUCAU